rnacentral:tRNA from 1 species
CCGACGAUAGCUCAGUUGGUAGAGCGGAGGACUGUAGAUUGUUCGCAGUGAUCCUUAGGUCGGUGGUUCGAAUCCGCCUCGUCGGA